GCACGCGUAGCCAAGAUGGACGAAGGCACGAGCCUGCAAAGCUCGCAACUCGUCGGUUCAAAUCCGACCGCGUGCU
rnacentral:tRNA from 1 species